UUUGAUCAUGGCUCAGGACGAACGCUGGCGGCGUGCUUAACACAUGCAAGGUCGAACGGGACCAGGGGCAACUCUGGUUCAGUGGCGGACGGGUGCGUAACACGUGAGGAACAUGACUUUCGGUGGGGGAUAGCCGGCCCAACGGCCGGGUAAUACCGCGUACGACCAUUUGGGGACAUCCCCGAGUGGUGAAAGCAGCAAUGCGCCGAAAGAGUGCCUCGCGGCCUAUCAGCUAGUUGGUGGGGUAAUGGCUCACCAAGGCAACGACGGGUAGCUGGUCUGAGAGGAUGGCCAGCCACAUUGGGACUGAGACACGGCCCAGACUCCUACGGGAGGCAGCAGUGGGGAAUAUUGCGCAAUGGGCGAAAGCCUGACGCAGCGACGCCGCGUGGGUGAUGAAGGCCUUCGGGUUGUAAAGCCCUGUCGCCUGGGACGAACAAGCUCGUGAAGAACGAGCUCUGACGGUACCAGGAGAGGAAGCACCGGCUAACUCUGUGCCAGCAGCCGCGGUAAUAC
rnacentral:rRNA from 1 species